UGACCUGAGCUGAAACCAAGAAUCAGACACCCAACCAACUGAGCCACCCAGGUUCCUCUAAGCCACAUCAUUAACAGUGUUUAUCUUGUUGUUGGGAGAAAGAGAGUUGGGGAGUAGAGCUUCAGGUACCUUUCCUGGGAUAUGUUCUAUGAGCAUGUAUUGCUUUUAUAGUGGGAAAACACAUAAUUAAAUAGAAACACACACACACUGCAGAGCCCCCAGUGCAAAGAGCUUCGUGUGUAGACAGGAGUCUAAAAUACUUAUUUGACUUCCCCGAUGCUUGUUAGUUUCUAAGGGAAAAGACAAAAUGAACGUGCCAGCCAAGAGUGUUUAAUGUACAGGGCUCACCUGUUCCAUGUUAAGAUCUUGAGGCUUGCUUUAUAAUAUAAGGAUUCUUGAGCUUGUUACAUAAUAAAACAAAAGUGAAAUUCCAGGCAUAAACAAAGCCCCUUGCAUAGUUCCAGCAGCAUCAGGGAGAGCACAGCUAGCAGUCUGCCAUAAAUGAAUUGCACUGUUAGCUAGUUACCAGGUUCCAGAAUAUGAAAGACCGUAUCUUUAAGUAGAGUAUCUAAUUAUAGCGCUCACAUGGGGCUCAGGGGAAUUAAUAUGUACAGGACGUUCUCUGUUGCUUACUGCAUGGUAGACUGCAUUCAUAGACAUAUAGAAUCUAGAAGGAGGGAAAUGAUGGCUCAUUAACUGUGUGACCUUGUAAAAGUCAGUUAAGCUCUAGGUACCUCAUCUGUGAAGCAAGGAUCAUACCCCUAGGCACCUCAGGAUACUGAGAUGAGGAUUACGUGAGGAUGUUUGGAAGGCACCUUGGAUAUGGCUCGCCCUAGUUGCUGUGUUGAGAAUGGAUUGAAAGAGAAGAGUGGAUGCAGCAGGAAGAGGUGGGAAGUUGUUGAAAGCAUCCAGGAUGGGGAGUGGUGGCGGAGGCUGGAAUGAUGGCAGCCAUGGUGCAGAGAUGAGGACAUGUUGCUGAAAGCUUUGGUGACUGUUCAAUAGCAUGGGGGCCCAGAGAAGAGGAAACAUUGUAGAUGACAUGUCCCCCUUUCCCCCAUGUGAGACAUCAGCAGUUGAGGCAUGGUGAGGACAUUCAGAGCAGGGAGCCUGGAGACCUGCGGAUUUGGGAGGGAAGAGAGGUUCAGUUUGGAACAUUCUGGGCUUGUGAGACGUGGAGCCCUGCUAUGUGGGCAACUGCAUCUCAGGGGAGAGCCCCACCCUGGAGCCGCAAGGUGGGAAUGGUUGGCCGACGACAUGGUCAACGACAAAGCCAGCAGAGUGGCUGAGGAUGCCCAAGGAGAGAGCACUGAGGGAGCAGAGGAUGCUUAGCCCCUGGGAGAGCCAACCUGGAGAGGUUGAGCAGAGGGCAAGGAGACCGAGGAGGAGCCACAGAGGCUGAACAGGAUGGAAUGAUGGAGGAGGACCAAGGCAGCCGCAGCAGGCACUCAGAGACAAGAAAGAUCCCCGAGGGCUGGG